GUGCACACAGCAGCUGGCCUGCACACCCCAGGGCCGGGCUACAGCGCCUGCCUUUGGCAUGCAGCCAUCCACCCAUGUUUAGGCCCUUGUGGCUGGUCUAGCUCAACCUGUGGGUGAAACCUGGCUCCUUCCUGCUCUGGUCCUCACAAGAGACAUGGCAGGCAGCACCUGAGAGUCACCCCUCACAGCCCAGGCACCCAGGGAGGCUGGCGCAGGUCCCAGGCCAGAGCCCAAGGAAGGCACCUGGGGCCCAGCUGGGACAGAGUCUCACUCUGUCACCAGGCUGGAGUGCAGUGGCGUGAUCUCAGAUCACUGCAAUCUCCGCCUCCCAGGUUCAAGCGAUUCUCCUGCCUCAGCUCCCGAGUAGCUGGGAUUUCACGAGAAUAUAUGCUUCUGAUGGCAGAAACUUUAUACCUCCAGGGCCUAAAACAGUGCAAGUCUUGGUAAACAUCAAAUGCAUGCCUGAAUGAAUGAAGGACGGAAUGAAUGCCACAGACUUCUGGAAAAGCUCCUAAAACGUGAGGUCCAAUAUCAUCCAAUUUGGAUAAGAGGUUCUGGGCUGGAGUUCCUGGUUCAGGUUGUUGGGCAAUCUCCCUCUUUGCCUCUCUCGAGCUCACAGUUUGCUGGGCACGGUGCACGUGGCUGAGGCUCCUUCUGAAAUGGACCGAAGUGUGCAGGAAGUGAGGGCUGUGGCCACCCACCCAGGGCGAGGGAGUGGGCUUUUGAAACCCUGCCUCAUCAGCACGUCUACUGCACCACUCCCUCCUCAGGCAUACUGAGCUUGCUUAUGAUGUUGGGACCCAAAGGGAAAAAGGCAGUCUGUAAAUAAGCUCUCUCAGACUUAAAAUUAAAUUCUACAUUUUCCUGA